AGGUUACUGCUAUCGGUGUUCGCCUAAGCCAUGCGAGUCACAUGUUCGUAAGAACAUGGCGUACUGCUCAGUAACACGUGGAUAACCUGCCCUUGGGUCCGGCAUAACCCCGGGAAACUGGGGAUAAUUCCGGAUAACGCACAUAUGCUGGAAUGCUUUAUGCGUAAAAUGGGUUCGUCUGCCCAAGGAUGGGUCUGCGGCCUAUCAGGUAGUAGUGGGUGUAAUGUACCUACUAGCCUACGACGGGUACGGGUUGUGAGAGCAAGAGCCCGGAGAUGGAUUCUGAGACAUGAAUCCAGGCCCUACGGGGCGCAGCAGGCGCGAAAACUUUACAAUGCGGGAAACCGUGAUAAGGGGACACCGAGUGCCAGCAUCCUAUGCUGGCUGUCCGGGUGUGUAAAAUACACCUGUUAGCAAGGGCCGGGCAAGACCGGUGCCAGCCGCCGCGGUAACACCGGCGGCCCGAGUGGUGAUCGUGAUUAUUGGGUCUAAAGGGUCCGUAGCCGGUUUGGUCAGUCCUCCGGGAAAUCUGACAGCUUAACUGUUAGGCUUUCGGAGGAUACUGCCAGACUUGGAACCGGGAGAGGUAAGAGGUACUACAGGGGUAGGAGUGAAAUCUUGUAAUCCCUGUGGGACCACCUGUGGCGAAGGCGUCUUACCAGAACGGGUUCGACGGUGAGGGACGAAAGCUGGGGGCACGAACCGGAUUAGAUACCCGGGUAGUCCCAGCCGUAAACGAUGCUCGCUAGGUGUCAGGCAUGGCGCGACCGUGUCUGGUGCCGCAGGGAAGCCGUGAAGCGAGCCACCUGGGAAGUACGGCCGCAAGGCUGAAACUUAA
rnacentral:rRNA from 1 species